AACGAACGCUGGCGGCAUGCCUAAUACAUGCAAGUCGAACGAUCUCUUCGGAGAUAGUGGCGCACGGGUGCGUAACGCGUGGGAAUCUGCCCUUGGGUUCGGAAUAACUUCUGGAAACGGAAGCUAAUACCGGAUGAUGACGUAAGUCCAAAGAUUUAUCGCCCAAGGAUGAGCCCGCGUAGGAUUAGCUAGUUGGUGAGGUAAAGGCUCACCAAGGCGACGAUCCUUAGCUGGUCUGAGAGGAUGAUCAGCCACACUGGGACUGAGACACGGCCCAGAC
rnacentral:rRNA from 1 species